AUGCCCAUUCACUGGAUAUUUGGAAAUCGUGUAAUGCUAUUGGGGACCAGAGGCCAGAGAGGGCAGACACCUGCCUUAGGUCACACAGCAAGACCUACUCUGCCUUCUCUACACAGUGUCUCCUCCCAACCCCAAAUGCCCCUGGGUGGGGAUCUUUUAUUUUUAACCUGGUCAGUGGACACAUCGCCUUUUUAUAGCCCUGGAAGGCGCCCAGGGUUUCCAAUUUCCAAAGGAAGUUUUUUAAAAAAAUGGUCCUCUUCCUGUGAAAAGGAACGGCCUGAUCUCUCAGGGUCACCUGCAUCCAGGUCUCCAAGCAGCUAAAAACUGGACACAGCCACUCAGGAUGCCAGCCACGCACCUGUGCCCUCGGGCGUGACUUGUGACGUGGAAGCGGCCUGUGGUUUUUAACUCAUAAAUUGUGAAAACCAAAGCCCAAACUGACCAUGCUAGGUUUUGCUGGGUGAGAAGCAGCCUGGCCCCUAAGAAAGGCUGAGUGAACUAUCAGAAAGAAACAUACUGUCACC
rnacentral:lncRNA from 1 species